rnacentral:rRNA from 1 species
CCUACGGGUGGCAGCAGUGGGGAAUAUUGGACAAUGGGGGGAACCCUGAUCCAGCCAUGCCGCGUGUGUGAAGAAGGCCCUCGGGUUGUAAAGCACUUUCAGUGAGGAAGAACGCCUGGUGGUUAAUACCCAUCAGGAAAGACAUCACUCACAGAAGAAGCACCGGCUAACUCCGUGCCAGCAGCCGCGGUAAUACGGAGGGUGCGAGCGUUAAUCGGAAUUACUGGGCGUAAAGCGCGCGUAGGUGGCUUGAUAAGCCGGUUGUGAAAGCCCCGGGCUCAACCUGGGAACGGCAUCCGGAACUGUCAAGCUAGAGUGCAGGAGAGGAAGGUAGAAUUCCCGGUGUAGCGGUGAAAUGCGUAGAGAUCGGGAGGAAUACCAGUGGCGAAGGCGGCCUUCUGGACUGACACUGACACUGAGGUGCGAAAGCGUGGGUAGCAAACAGGAUUCGAUACCCUAGUAGUC